AGAGGUAAACGGGUGGAGUUGAACUGCAUGCUCCGUGAAUUCAGCUGGUGAGGAUGUUUUGGGCUUGGUCAAGUGGGGUAGACGCUGGGGUAUGCCAUGCGGUGUGUCCCGAUCAAUCGGUUGGGAUGCAUGCUACGCUCAUCAUGCGUUGUGCGCUUCAGUUGUUUAUCUGCCCCCUCGCCAGUGCAUUUUCACGGAGCGAUCACCACGACCGGCGUUGCUGUCCGGCUGCUUUGGUCAAACUGUCCUCUCACGUCCAUGUGGCGUUGUCUGGUCGGGAUGGCAGGUGGCCCGUUGGCUUGCUUCGCUCGCUUUCGGGUGUAAUUAGCUGGCCAAAGCGGUACUGUGCGGUGCGUCGGAGAUGGCGGCUCGUUGUGCGUACCGUCAUGACCUAUCUUCCGAGGGGUCCUGGUUUGGUUGCUAUGUCGCCUGUUCGGCAGGUCGAGUGAUAGCCGGGGUCCUCUUGGUUGGUGGUUGUGUAGGCGGCACCUAGGGCCUAUAGUCUGUGGUGUUGUGGUAGAUUAUCCACCCGACCCGUCUUGAAACACGGACCAAGGAGAGUAACAUGUGCGCGAGUCAUUGGGUGUUACGAAACCCAAAGGCGCAGUGAAAGUAAAGGUUUGGCUUGUCCAGACUGAGGUGAGAUCCUGUCGUUUCUCACGCGUGGUACUACCAAGCAUAGAGCGGCAGGCGCAUCACCGGCCCGUCCCAUGACGUAGACAUGGUCUUGUACUCGUGCAUCGUCGGGGCGGAGCAUGAGCGCGCAUGUUGAGACCCGAAAGAUGGUGAACUAUGCUUGCGCAGGUUGAA
rnacentral:rRNA from 1 species